CGAGUAAAUCAGAUGAUCGCGGGUACCGGGCCGAAAGGUGGUACCUGAGGAAAGUCCGAGCUCCACAGGGCAGGGUGCUGGGUAAUACCCAGUGGGGGCGACCCUAAGGAAAGUGCCACAGAAACAAACCGCCGGUUGAGAGGUGGGAGGUGAGAGGUUGGAAGUGAGAUUAAGGAGGAAUUUGGCUAUUCCAAAUUCCAACCGCUGUUCUCACUUCUCACAUCCCACAUCCCACUUCCCAGCCGGUAAGGGUGGAACGGUGAGGUAAGAGCUCACCAGCGGUCAGGUGACUGGCCGGCUAGGUAAACCCCACCUGGAGCAAGACCGAAUAGGGGGGCAAUGGAACGGCCCGUUCCGCUCCCGGGUAAGGUCGCUUGAGGCGGCUGGUAACAGCCGUCCCAGAUAAAUGAUCAUCCAACGACAGAACUCGGCUUAUCGAUUUACUCGGUUU
rnacentral:RNase_P_RNA from 1 species